rnacentral:rRNA from 1 species
GCAGUCGACGCUCGCAGAGAGUGGCGCACGGGUGAGGAACACGUAGCUAACCUGCCUUUCAGUCUGGGAUAACGUUCCGAAAGGAACGCUAAGACCGGAUAAGCUCCCGGGUUGUAGAUGCCUGGGAGAAAAGGGGAAAGACGCUGAAAGAGGGGGCUGCGGCGCAUCAGGUAGUUGGUGGGGUAACGGCUCACCAAGCCAACGACGCGUAGGGGGUCUGAGAGGAUGAUCCCCCACACUGGGACUGAGACACGGCCCAGACUCCUACGGGAGGCAGCAGUGAGGAAUAUUGCACAAUGGGGGCAACCCUGAUGCAGCGACGCCGCGUGGGUGAUGAAGGCCUUCGGGUCGUAAAGCCCUUUUGCCACUGAUGAGAACGGACAGUAGGUGGCGAAUAAGCCUCGGCUAACUACGUGCCAGCAGCCGCGGUAAAACGUAGGAGGCGAGCGUUAUCCGGAGUUACUGGGCGUAAAGGGUGCGUAGGCGGUGCCAUAAGUGGGGUGUGAAAUCUCUGGGCUAAACCCGGAGGGUGCGCCUCAGACUGUGGGACUAGAGUGGGAUAGAGGGACGUGGAAUUCCGGGUGGAGCGGUGAAAUGUGUAGAGAUCCGGAGGAACACCAGAGGCGCAAGCGGCGUCCUGGGUCCCAACUGACGCUGAGGCACGAAAGCUUGGGGAGCGAACGGGAUUAGA